CUCCCUCACAUGCACCAGUCACCUCACUCUUCCGUGCACCAUUUGGGAAGGGUGCCAGGCGAGGAGAGGCUGGGGUGGGAUUGGCCAUAUUCCCCCACCCUCCCUGUUUCACUUCCUUCCUCUACAUUUCUCAGAAUUAUUGGUGUCUCCAGAUAUCCUUGAACAGGGUCAGAGGGACGGGUUCUCUGCUCUUGCCCAAUCCAAGCCUGUGACCCUGCGCCUGAGCCGCAGGCCUAGUUUCCUGUGGGGCUGACCCAGGGUCCCCAGCUCUGGCCUGACUUGCUUCCCUCUCCUGCCUCUCCCAGGGAGUAAAGUCCUCCAAGCAGCAUUAGGGGUGGCUCCAGGAGAGGCAGGAGAGCCUCCACUGCGACAGGUGCCAUCGAACCUCCACUCACUGCUACUGUGGGCCCCGGGGCAUUGCAUUCAGGAACUUCUCUCAUGAUCCCCAGAGCACGUCCCAUUUCACAGAUGAGAAAACUAAGGCCCCAGAAGGGACUGUUGUGCUACCCAACAGGACUGAGACAGCCCAGGGGGGAUCAGAGCUGGACGAAGUUUGCAGGGUCCCUUACGAGUUCCAGCCUCCUCUUUCUGACCUGUCAUGACUUUGGACAGAGCUCCAGCCCUUCACAGGCCAUCCUCACCAACUCUAGUUCCUUGAUAUGCCAGUUACCUCCAUGGCCCGUUUUUCAGGCCACUCUAACUGCUCUGGUUUGGAGGGAAGAAGGAUCUGACUCUACCUGACCCAUCCAUCCCUGUGCCCAUCUCCCUCCACACCCAGGUCCCAAAUAACCAGGCCACACACCGAGUUUCAAGUAUCUGUCUCUUCCUUUCACUCUCUCAAAAGAAAAAAUAAAUAAAUUGCAGAAGGCGGCAGCAUUUCCAGUCUUCUCUGGCUCCCGGACACCCGACCCCUGACCCCUGCCCCCCACCCCCCCUCCCACAUUUCCCACUCCCUAGACCCAUCCCUCCCUUUUCCCCAAAACAAAAAUCCCAGGAAAAAAAAAAAGCCACAUUUAAACCUUCCACUCAUGCAAACCGGCAAAGAAAAAAGGUGGGGGACGUGUGGAAGGCAGGGGGCCCGCCUCAGAGUCCCCUGCUUCUCCCCCCAAAAAC